UACGUAGGGGGCAAGCGUUGUCCGGAAUCACUGGGCGUAAAGCGCGCGCAGGCGGCUGUCUACGUCCGGGGUGAAAGCCCAGAGCUCAACUCUGGGAUUGCCUUGGAUACGGGAUGGCUUGAGGAUCGGAGAGGCAAGGGGAAUUCCACGUGUAGCGGUGAAAUGCGUAGAGAUCGGGAAGAACAUCGGUGGCGAAAGCGCUCUACUGGACCGCAACUGACACUCAGGGACGAAAGCUAGGGGAGCGAAUGGG
rnacentral:rRNA from 1 species